CAGCAGCCGCGGUAAUACGAAGGGGGCUAGCGUUGCUCGGAAUUACUGGGCGUAAAGGGAGCGUAGGCGGAUAGUUUAGUCAGAGGUGAAAGCCCAGGGCUCAACCUUGGAAUUGCCUUUGAUACUGGCUAUCUUGAGUACGGAAGAGGUAUGUGGAACUCCGAGUGUAGAGGUGAAAUUCGUAGAUAUUCGGAAGAACACCAGUGGCGAAGGCGACAUACUGGUCCGUUACUGACGCUGAGGCUCGAAAGCGUGGGGAGCAAACAGGAUUAGAUACCCCAGUAGUCCCUGUCUCUUAUAC
rnacentral:rRNA from 1 species